rnacentral:snoRNA from 1 species
CCCAUCCAAGAUGAUGAGUUGAUCUCCUACCUGCUCACGGGCUGGACAUGGACUACCAGCCCCUUGUCUCUGCCCUCGAUGCCCGCGUCACGCCGGUCUCCCUCGAUGAGCUGUACGCCAUGCUGAGCAACUUUGAUC